rnacentral:Y_RNA from 1 species
GGUUGGUCCAAGUGCAGUGGUGUUUACAACUAAUUGAUCACAACCAGUUACAGAUUCCUUUGUUCCUUCUCCACUCCCACUGCUUCACUUGACCAGCCUUAA